ACCCUAUGGUAGGUGACAUCAUGCUGUUCUACCACAGGGUAGAACCACGGACGGGAUGUUGGGAGGUG
ensembl:miRNA